rnacentral:rRNA from 1 species
UACGUAGGGUGCGAGCGUUGUCCGGAAUUAUUGGGCGUAAAGAGCUCGUAGGCGGCCUGUCGCGUCGGUUGUGAAAGCCCGGGGCUUAACCCCGGGUCCGCAGUCGAUACGGGCAGGCUAGAGUUCGGUAGGGGAGAUCGGAAUUCCUGGUGUAGCGGUGAAAUGCGCAGAUAUCAGGAGGAACACCGGUGGCGAAGGCGGAUCUCUGGGCCGAUACUGACGCUGAGGAGCGAAAGCGUGGGGAGCGAACAGG